rnacentral:rRNA from 1 species
AGAGUUUGAUCAUGGCUCAGAUUGAACGCUGGCGGCAGGCCUAACACAUGCAAGUCGAGCGGAUGAAGRGAGCUUGCUCUCUGAUUCAGCGGCGGACGGGUGAGUAAUGCCUAGGAAUCUGCCURKUAGUGGGGGACAACGUUUCGAAAGGAACGCUAAUACCGCAUACGUCCUACGGGAGAAAGCAGGGGACCUUCGGGCCUUGCGCUAWYAGAUGAGCCUAGGUCGGAUUAGCUNGUUGGUGAGGUAAWGGCUCACCAAGGCGACGAUCCGUAACUGGUCUGAGAGGAUGAUCAGYCACACUGGAACUGAGACACGGUCCAGACUCCUACGGGACGCAGCAG